rnacentral:rRNA from 1 species
CCUACGGGUGGCAGCAGUGAGGAAUAUUGGUCAAUGGCCGAGAGUCUGAACCAGCCAAGUCGCGUGCAGGAAGACGGCUCUAUGGGUUGUAAACUUCUUUUGUACAAGGGUAAACCUAACUACGUGUGGUCAACUGAGAGUACUCGAAGAAUAAGCAUCGGCUAACUCCGUGCCAGCAGCCGCGGUAAUACGGAGGAUUCGAGCGUUAUCCGGAUUUAUUGGGUUUAAAGGGUGCGGAGGCGGAGGGAUAAGUUAGAGGUUAAAUGUCCGGGCCUAACUCGGGAACUGCCUCUAAUACUGCUGCCCUUGAGAGCAGGUGCGGUAUGCGGAAUGCAUGGUGUAGCGGUGAAAUGCUUAGAGAUCAUACAGAACACCGAUUGCGAAGGCAGCAUACC